AGAGUUUGAUCCUGGCUCAGGAUGAACGCUAGCGGGAGGCCUAACACAUGCAAGUCGAGGGGUAACGGAAGUAGCUUGCUACUAGACGACGACCGGCGCACGGGUGAGUAACGCGUAUGUAAUCUGCCUUGUACAGAGGGAUAGCCCAGAGAAAUUUGGAUUAAUACCUCAUAGUAUUACCGAAUCGCAUGAUUUGGUAAUUAAAGCUCCGGCGGUACAAGAUGAACAUGCGUGACAUUAGCUAGUUGGUAAGGUAACGGCUUACCAAGGCCACGAUGUCUAGGGGUUCUGAGAGGAUGAUCCCCCACACUGGUACUGAGACACGGACCAGACUCCUACGGGAGGCAGCAGUGAGGAAUAUUGGUCAAUGGACGCAAGUCUGAACCAGCCAUCCCGCGUGAAGGAUGACUGCCCUAUGGGUUGUAAACUUCUUUUAUAUGCAAAUAAACCUACUUUCGUGAAAGUAGCUGAAGGUAGCAUAUGAAUAAACACCGGCUAACUCCGUGCCAGCAGCCGCGGUAAUACGGAGGGUGUAAGCGUUAUCCGGAUUUAUUGGGUUUAAAGGGUACGUAGGCGGUAAUAUAAGUCAGUGGUGAAAUCCUGCAGCUCAACUGUAGAACUGCCAUUGAAACUGUAUUACUUGAGUAUACUUGAGGUAGGCGGAAUGAGUAGUGUAGCGGUGAAAUGCUUAGAUAUUACUCAGAACACCGAUUGCGAAGGCAGCUUACUAAGGUAUAACUGACGCUGAUGUACGAAAGCGUGGGGAGCGAACAGGAUUAGAUACCCUGGUAGUCCACGCCGUAAACGAUGAU
rnacentral:rRNA from 1 species